rnacentral:rRNA from 1 species
AACCAGCUCUUCAAGUGGUCGGGAAUUUUAUUGGGCUUAAAGUGUCCGUAGCCGGUUUGAACAGUUCCUGGUUAAAUCUGGUAGCUUAACUAUCAGUCAGCUAGGAAUACUAUCUUACUAGAGGGUGGGAAAGGCUUGGGGUACUCCGGGGGUAGCGGUGAAAUGCGAUAAUCCUCGGGGGACCACCAGUGGCGAAGGCGCCAAGCUGGAACACGCCUGACGGUGAGGGACGAAAGCCAGGGGAGCGGACGGGAUUAGAUACCCCGGUAGUCCUGGCCGUAAACGAUGCAUGCUAGGUGCUGGAAGGGCUCUGAGCCGUUUCAGUGCCGUAGGGAAACUGUUAAGCGCGCCGCCUGGGAAGUACGCUCGCAAGAGUGAAACUUAAAGGAAUUGGGCGGGGAGCACCACAAGGGGUGAAGCCUGCGGUUC